rnacentral:rRNA from 1 species
GUCGAGAAUCUUUCACAAUGGGGGCAACCCUGAUGGAGCGACGCCGCGUGGAGGAUAAGGUCUUCGGAUUGUAAACUCCUGUCAUGCGUGAACAAGGUUGCUUGGAUAAUACCUGAGCAAAUUGAUGGUAGCGCAAGAGGAAGAGACGGCUAACUCUGUGCCAGCAGCCGCGGUAAUACAGAGGUCUCAAGCGUUGUUCGGAAUCACUGGGCGUAAAGGGUGCGUAGGUGGCGUGGCAAGUCAGAUGUGAAAGCCCGGGGCUCAACCUCGGAACUGCAUCCGAUACUGCCAUGCUAGAGUACUGGAGGGGUGACUAGAAUUCUCGGUGUAGCAGUGAAAUGCGUAGAUAUCGAGAGGAAUACCAAAGGCGUAGGCAGGUCACUGGACAGUUACUGACACUGAGGCACGAUGGCCAGGGGAGCGAACGGGAUUAGAAACCCUUGUAGUCC